UUUGGGAUCGGGAGAAGAUUGUAAUAAUACCAGACCAUUACAUAUUCACGAGUGAUGAACGUGCAAACCGUAAUGUGGAUAUACUAAGGGAUUUCUGCAUGGAGCAAAACAUCAAGUACUUUUAUGAUAUUAAAGAUCUUGGUAAUUUUAUGGCUAACCCAGAUUACAAAGGUGUAUGCCAUAUUGCUCUUGCACAAGAAGGUCACUCUAGGCCUGGAGAGGUCCUGCUGGGUACAGACUCUUGCACUUGUAAAAUUGGAGCAUUUGGCCAAUUUGCCACUGGAAUUGGCAACACUGAUGCAGGUUUUGUGUUGGGCA